GAUGAACGCUAGCGACAGGCCUAACACAUGCAAGUCGAGAGGCAGCACAAGGUAGCAAUACUGAGGUGGCGACCGGCGCACGGGUGAGUAACGCGUAUGCAACCUGCCUGUAACAGGGGAAUAGCCUCUUGAAAGAGAGAUUAAUGCCGCAUAAUACGAGAUUCGGGCAUCCGGAUUUAGUUAAACAUUUAUGGGUUACAGAUGGGCAUGCGUUUCAUUAGGUAGUUGGUGAGGUAACGGCUCACCAAGCCGACGAUGAAUAGGGGUUCUGAGAGGAAGGUCCCCCACACUGGUACUGAGACACGGACCAGACUCCUACGGGAGGCAGCAGUGAGGAAUAUUGGUCAAUGGACGCAAGUCUGAACCAGCCAAGUCGCGUGAAGGAUGAAGGUAUUAUGUAUUGUAAACUUCUUUUGUCAGGGAAUAAUGGGUGUCACGUGUGACGCAGAGGAAUGUACCUGACGAAUAAGCAUCGGCUAACUCCGUGCCAGUAGCCGCGGUAAUACGGAGGAUGCGAGCGUUAUCCGGAUUUAUUGGGUUUAAAGGGUGCGUAGGCGGUUUGUUAAGUCAGUGGUGAAAGUUUGCGGCUCAACCGUAAAAUUGNCAUUGAAACUGGCGAACUUGANUACAGUANAGGUAGGCGGAAUUCGUGGUGUAGCGGUGAAAUGCUUAGAUAUCACGAA
rnacentral:rRNA from 1 species